rnacentral:rRNA from 1 species
AGUGAACGCUGGCGGUAGGCCUAACACAUGCAAGUCGAACGGCAGCACAGUAAGAGCUUGCUCUUACGGGUGGCGAGUGGCGGACGGGUGAGGAAUACAUCGGAAUCUACUUUUUCGUGGGGGAUAACGUAGGGAAACUUACGCUAAUACCGCAUACGACCUACGGGUGAAAGCAGGGGAACUUCGGACCUUGCGCGAUUGAAUGAGCCGAUGUCGGAUUAGCUAGUUGGCGGGGUAAAGGCCCACCAAGUCGACGAUCCGUAGCUGGUCUGAGAGGAUGAUCAGCCACACUGGAACUGAGACACGGUCCAGACUCCUACGGGAGGCAGCAGUGGGGAAUAUUGGACAAUGGGCGCAAGCCUGAUCCAGCCAUACCGCGUGGGUGAAGAAGGCCUUCGGGUUGUAAAGCCCUUUUGUUGGGAAAGAAAAGCAGCAGGUUAAUACCCCGCUGUUCUGACGGUACCCAAAGAAUAAGCACCGGCUAACUUCGUG